AGUACUUGUACGGAAAUUAAACUUAGCGGCGGACGGGUGAGUAACACGUGAGCAACCUACCUUUCACUGGGGAAUAACAACGGGAAACCGUUGCUAAUACCGCAUAACAUCUUUUUAAGACAUCUUAGAAAGAUCAAAGAUUUUAUCGGUGAAAGAUGGGCUCGCGUCCGAUUAGUUAGUUGGUGGGGUAACGGCUCACCAAGACCACGAUCGGUAGCCGAACUGAGAGGUUGAUCGGCCACAUUGGGACUGAGACACGGCCCAGACUCCUACGGGAGGCAGCAGUGGGGAAUAUUGG
rnacentral:rRNA from 1 species